rnacentral:tRNA from 1 species
CAGAUGGAAGCCCGCUGGAUUGGGCGUUUAGUUGUUAACUGAAUUUUUGUGGGGUCGAGGCCCACCCAUUUG